rnacentral:sRNA from 1 species
AAUUUACUUAACUAAAAAACACACACGUAUCGUCACAUACGUCCGGGGUGCCGCCAUGCGGUUGGGCGAUGGGAUAUGUGGAGGUUAUAACC